AAACAUCCAGCCAGUGCCUUUGUGGCCUCUUGGGCUGGGUUGCAAUCUCUUGCCAACCGGCUUGCCGGUUGUCAGGAGGCCUCUGGGGAGGACGCUGUAGGAGCCUCAAAUGCCACCUACUCCCCGGCCUCUCUCCCAGUUGAUGUUUCUAUUUUGGGCACCACAUUAUUUCCUGCUGUGAUUUUUUUUUUUCAGGCUUCUAAUUCGGGCUCUGAGGAAUGGGAGUCGAACGUCUCCAUGUCUGAAGUCUGUUUAACUCUGUUUGGACAAUGACCCUUGAGAGAUGUGAUGAAGGCUACACAGAAUCCCAGAAACUGUCCACAACAAACUCACAAGAAGAUUCCUGGUAAUUUUAGGUUUGUGCACUUCCUUGAGUUGGGGGGCCCUUUCUCAAAGCCCUGGGUAUGCAUGGAUGCCUCCCUCCCUGAUCUCCCCUCUCUACCUUGGUGUGCCUCACUAUAUUUAAUCAAUGUGUGCUUAAAAAGAAGUCUCUGUAUGUGCAAGUACUUCAAGCAGAGGCAGAUGAUAAGCUAUGUCCUUAGGGCAACAACAGCCUCCUAAAACUGUCUUCUGGUUUACUACCAGGGACCUGCUGACCAUCUGGCAGUGAGGGCACCCACUGCACUGGGCUCUGGCAGACUUAGGUUCUGAACUCAAUUAAGUGGACUCUGUUUUUUGUUUUUCCCGACUUCUCUCUCAACAGCAGACAAAAUGGUAAAGCUCCCGGGAGCCUCACCCAUCCCAGUCCAUGGGGGUGACUUCAGCCGAGACUCCUAGCAGUGACGAUAUGGAGCCUGUUGUGCUUGUAGACAGGAGUCUAGCGUAACUGUCCUCUGAGAGCUACCGCAGCUGACUGAAACAGAUGCCGAGACCCAGAGCCAAACAUUAGAUGGAGCUUGGGGACUCUGUGGAAGGAUUACAGGCCCUGAAGGAAAUAGGAACUCUACAAGAAGACCAACAGUCAACUAACCUGGACCACUAGGGGCUCCCAGAGACUGAACCAUCAACCAAAGAGCAUACACAGGCUGGACCUAUGCCUCCCUGCACAUAUGUAGAGAUGUGUAGUUUGGUCUUCAUGUGGAUCUCCCAACAACUGGAGCGUGGGCUGUCCCUGAAUCUGCUGCCUGCCUGUGGAUCCUGCUCCUCUAACUGGGCUGCCUUGACUGCCUCAGUGGGAAAGGAUGUGCCUAGCCCUGCAAAGACUCGAUGUACCAGGAUUGGGGGAUACCCGGGGAGGGGUCGGGGGGCUCCAUCUUCUCAGAGAAGGGGAUGGGGGAGAUGGAGAGAGGGACUGUGUGAAGGGGGUAUGGGGAGAGGGGAGCAGCAAUUAGGAUGUAAAGUGAAUAAAUAUAUAUAUAAGUGAAUAAGUAGGAAAAAUGAUCAAGUUCCUCACAUGGCUGAGAGUGAAAGAGGCAGCAUCUUUUAAACGGUCUUGGUCACUGGAGGUCUUUUUUUGCUUUUGAAUCACAUGCACCUUGGCUGCUGUUGCCUUUAAGAACAUGAAACAUCCAAUAAAAUUUGUUUUUUAAAUCUU
rnacentral:lncRNA from 1 species